UACGUAGGGAGCAAGCGUUGUCCGGAAUCAUUGGGCGUAAAGCGCGCGUAGGUGGCUUCGUAAGUCCGUUGUGAAAGUCAAAGGCUCAACCUUUGAAAGCCGAUGGAUACUGUGAAGCUAGAGUACGGAAGAGGCGAGUGGAAUUCCUGGUGUAGCGGUGGAAUGCGCAGAUAUCAGGAGGAGCACCAAUAGCGAAGGCAGCUCGCUGGGACGUUACUGACACUGAGGCGCGAAAGCGUGGGGAGCGAACAGG
rnacentral:rRNA from 1 species